GGGCAUGUGGUGUAGUUGGUUAUCACGCUCGCUUAGCACCUGUGUUUGCGAGAGGGGUCCGGUUCGAUCCCGGACAUGUCCA
rnacentral:tRNA from 1 species